AGGCCAUCACAUGUGAACUGGAAGGGAGCCAACAUGGAGACACAGAGAGCGCAAGGUAAACAACUUUCCAACGCCAAAAGGAUGACAUUUAAUCUCUAAAUGCUAGCUUCCCUUCUUAGCUCAUCCUUAACCCCUCUCAGCUGGCCACAGAGACCCCAGGAGCCUCACUACCUGUCCCCAUAGAGCUCCUAACCAGAUGCAACAGUGACUGCGUCACCAUUCCCCACUUUUCCCAACUACGCAGUGACAAACCUACCAGCUUUACCCCACUUCUCCCAGCCCACACCCCACCCUGGCCACUCGGCUCCCCACCAGCCUCAGAAUCCCAGGGCCAGACCUUUCAAUAAGGCAACCCCUGGGAAAAAACUGUCCCUCUGUCUUCCUUUCGGCACUUCUCACUCCCUUACCUUCCACAUAAGACCUGCACGGACAGACAGAUGGACGCUGACACCCAAACAACUUGGAGAACCAGUCUGUCUGUCCACUAGAAGGAAAUAGGGUAAAAGCUGGGAGGUCAGGUGGGAAGCAGGGGAUGGUUCACUCCUCUCACCUCUACCCUGGUCAGGCUUGAGCAGCUGACACUAGGGAAAAGAAAUUAAAGUGGGAAAAAACCCUCCCUCAGAGAAAUAAAUAGCAAAAA
rnacentral:lncRNA from 10 species